GAUUUCUCUUGAAUCCGAGAUGUUAUUCAUCAGCUGAUUAUAGAGGAGGAGUUUUGUCAUUGAUGGGAACCAACGUCAUAUUUAUGAUAUUGUGGCUGCAUCACUUUUGUUUGGGUUUUGUCUGUACAUCUGGCAAUCUUGGGGCAAUACUGGAUGGUUUUAAAUAAGAACUGAUCCAGCAUGAAGACCAGCCAUGUGCCUCACCUGUCAUGACAUUAUUAAAGUACUUUGUGACAGUGGGAUGAUGGAAUAUUAAAGAAUGGACAUGGCUCUAUAUUACUACAUCAGAGAUCAAUCCAGGUUUACUUAUAAAUCAAAGAAAAACACUUAAACAGUCAAGCAUCAUUUGAAGCUACAUGUGUCACCGCUUUAACAAUAUGCCUGCUUAUAUAACCAAGAAAGCACAGUGACCAGUUGUACCUAUGAUGUCGGACAAGAUCCCGAAAAAACUUCCAUUACACUCAUCACUACCUGCAAAGAAUUGAAAAUUCUAAAUGACUUGUAUCAACACUUUUGUACUUCAUCUGGCUUGUAUUUUCAGUACUCAUUAGCUUUUAGCUUCCUGCAAACAAAAUUUCAUAAGUACUAACUUGCAGGUGUAAAAUAUUUGAAACAAUUUGCU